AUGAUGAAACAUGUAUUACUAUCUAUAGUGUUGUUGUUAGGGCAAUGUUCCAUUUUUUCUUUAGUAUUUGCCGAUACGCCCGCAGAAGUUGACAAAUUAAAUGGUUUAUUUGCAGAAGAUGAUCCAACUAAAAAAGAUGUAUUAGAUUUAAUAAAUGGUAUAUUCGAAAAUAACAAGGGAGCAAUGCAAUACUCUGUUGAAAAUGAUCAACACAAAUGUGCUUUAACUAAAUUGAAUGUUAUUUUUAAAAAUAAAUCUAAAGGUAUGAGAGCAUUAUUUGAUAAAAAAAAUGAAGAUUUAUUAACACAGGCUAUAUCAUUAUAUAAUUUAAAAUUUAACAUUGCUUUACAAACUGCAUCCUUAGAAAGUUUAAUCGUACCACAUAAAAAAAGAAGCUUCCAAUAUACGUUCGCUCAUUUUAUUCAUCAUUUAAGAAGAGCUUUUUUUAAUGUAAAAUGUCAUAGAAAUGAAAAAGACGCUAGUAAACUAGAAGGUGCUACCAGUGAAGAUACUACCAAUGAAGAUGCUAAUGAUGAAGAAAAUGAAAUUAAUAACGCUAGUCAAGUAGAACCAAAAUAUACUGAUGAUAUAUUAGAUAUGGAUAGUAUGAUUGAAAAUGACUUUUCUGAGGAAGUAAAAGAUAAUCAAAAAAUAGAAGAAAAUAUGUUAGCUGAUUUAAAAAAUUUAAACACUAUGCUCAAUUAUAUGUAUUCAACACAAAGUGUUUCUGGACUACUAAACAACAAUGAAGUAUUAUUCGAAAAAGAAGAACACCUUGUUAAUGGAUAUGACGACUGUGAUGAAUACCCUACAAAUUACGACAAUCUUACUCUAGAUAAAUGUAUGGAGAUAUUAUUAAAACAUAGCAGCAUAGACAUUAAUGGAUAUUGUGAAGAUAAACAAACACAGAUUAUCAAUGAUACCAAAAAAAAUGCUAUUAAAAAUACAAACGAUACUAAAACUUUAGACAGUGAAAUUCCAAGCACAAGUAACAAUACCAUGACUCAAACUGAUGAUAAAGCUGUUACAACAACCAGUUCUGAUGAACCAUCAAAUAAAAACGAAAUUAUUUAUUUCAGUUUUAUAAUAAGUAAAAGAAAUAUG
rnacentral:lncRNA from 1 species